GACGAACGCUGGCGGCGUGCUUAACACAUGCAAGUCGAACGGAAAGGCCCUGCUUUUGUGGGGUGCUCGAGUGGCGAACGGGUGAGUAACACGUGAGUAACCUGCCCUUGACUUUGGGAUAACUUCAGGAAACUGGGGCUAAUACCGGAUAGGUGCUCCUGCUGCAUGGUGGGGGUUGGAAAGUUUCGGCGGUUGGGGAUGGACUCGCGGCUUAUCAGCUUGUUGGUGGGGUAGUGGCUUACCAAGGCUUUGACGGGUAGCCGGCCUGAGAGGGUGACCGGCCACAUGGGGACUGAGAUACGGCCCAGACUCCUACGGGAGGCAGCAGUGGGGAAUAUUGCACAAUGGGCGGAAGCCUGAUGCAGCAACGCCGCGUGCGGGAUGACGGCCUUCGGGUUGUAAACCGCUUUCGCCUGUGACGAAGCGUGAGUGACGGUAAUGGGUAAAGAAGCACCGGCUAACUACGUG
rnacentral:rRNA from 1 species